AUUCAUCAACAACACCCAGAAACGCUGCCGGCUUCUCUGGGCCCGAGCUCAUUGAAGAUGGGCUGAUGCAAAGUAGAACGGUAUUCUGUGGUAUGUCGAGUUCCAUAUUUCAACAUGUUUUUGGGAAUUGUGGCCAUCGUGUCCUCCGGGCCAAAGAGGAAAAGAACCAUACUAAAUGUUAUGGACACAAAGUCCACGAGUCGGCAUCUGUGAUUGUAUGGGGCUGUGUUCGUGCCAAUGGCAUGUUUUUUUUCCACAUCUCCGAAGACACAAUUAAUGCUGAAAGGAGAGCUGGAUAAAGCGGUUGGGGAAAGGGAAUGAUCGGCUACCAUGCUACACCGGCUGACCACACAACCCGACCCUGGAUAAGUGGAAGAAAAUGGAAGGGCGCACCUAAGUAGUAUUAGAAACAUUUUAAGCAUGAUGGUGCAUUUUAAAACCAAGUAAACCUAAAAAUAAAGGCAUUUCUUAAAAGAAAAAAGGGGAAAAAAGCAGAUACACAACAGUCAUGGGAUUUGGCACCAAUGCCCACUGGUUCAUGCCUGAAUGUAACAUUCGAAAUGAUUAUCAUCCUCUUGUGUUUUAAUUUCAUUUUGUUCUCUUCUGCAGAAGCAUUAUGACGAACACUUACCAGUAAGAAUGAUGUUGGGCAGCCCUCCGCUGCAGUUGGAGUACAGCAUGCUAGAAGCCAUUUGCCUGGGCUCAUGCAGGUUGCCAUGGCUGCCCCCAAGCCCUGCGAGGGCUGACUGGGAGGAGUACAGAGAGGACAGGGAAGGGUCGAAGAAAGAGCCACCCGCUGUGGAGUUCAUCGCAUUUUCCAACAUACUGAACUGGUCCGACUAGCCGGCAGAUGGUUCAGAAAGAGAGCAAAAAGCAGAAAACUCUCUCAGUAUCAAUGCAUCCUAUUACAAGCCAUUUCAAUGAUCAUAUCCAUUAAACACAUUGCAUUUUGAUCCAUAGGGUGCAACCUAUUUUUGUUGUGAUUGACAGGGUUCAUCCAGCUUAAGGAAAAUUAAAUGUAAGACUUUUUUUAAUUCAAUAUUUUCAUGGUUAGUACGACCAUCAAUUUACUUUUCAAGGGAAUUCUCAUCCAUAAUUCUGAAAAUUACAGUUGUAUUCACACAGUAUAAGCCAGCUUUUAUUUUAUAGGGAGGAAUAUUUGGUCUUACAACCACAACAUAAGAUGAAUACAAUAUAAUAAUCAAAACUCCAAGGCAAAAGAAUGCUGCGGUGCAUCUUUAUGACAUGAAACAAGAACGCGAUCAAAUUGAAAUAAGGGUGGGAUGAAUACAAAAAUGAUUCACAAACAACAUUCAAUAAAAGAUGGUUGAUUUGUGUAAUAUCUCCGAUUCCUUUUUCCCAUUUUAGUCAGAAAUACACUUGUAGUCGUAUGGCAAAAGCAAUUCUUUCCAUCUUGAAAAUGUCACACACAAUGUCAAUCCAUUCAUCAGUCAUAGGUUUUCCUCGUCUUGAACACCACCUCUGAACGGCUUUCCUCCAAGCAGCACGAAGAAUGCGAAAAAGGUAUUUAUGCCCUGGUGGCAGAGCCACUAAAUAUAAACAAAAUACAAUAGAAAGUAUUUGAGACAAGAGCAAAAUAUGUGAAAAUGAUUUGUGCCAUUUAUCUCAAUGCAUCCACGCUGCCUCCGACAGGCAGGUGCAUUUGUAUCAUGUCUUUUUAGAGCUGGUGUUAGAAAAGACCUAAUGUGACUUUUCCAUCAGAACUCUCUUCAUCGUGGUGAACUUGAAACCGUCCACUGAAACACGCGUCACUGUUCCCGGUCUUCUCCAAAUUGAAUUGUCUGUUUAGAUUUUGAAAACUGUUUCAUUACAGCUACAGUACAUAAAAGGAGUUCGAAGAUGUAUGCGUGUUAAUACCGUACUGGCCCGAAUAGAAGACGGCCCUGAUUAUAAGACGACCCCCUCUUUUUCAAGACUCAAGUUUGAAAAAAGACUUUUUGAACACCAAAUUAAUUUUUAUACAGAAAAUAAUGACAGUACAUCUGCAACAAAUGAUUAUAACAAUAUAUUUGAUAUGUUAUUGAUUUGUUAUUUUGCCUCAUUCAAAUCUCAAUAUCUGAACAUUGAAAUAUGUAAACUAAAGUGCAAUCACAUUCGUAAAUAAAUGGCUUCUGGUUUUUUAAAUGUAAAUUACAUCACAACUUCUGAGCUGCCGGUUAACCUGGUCGAUCUUUGACCCACUUUUCUCCAGAU